GCCGAAGUAGCUUAGUGGUCAUAGCGCCGCGCUCAUAACGCGGAGGUCGGGGGUUCGAGUCCCCCCUUCGGCA
rnacentral:tRNA from 1 species